rnacentral:lncRNA from 1 species
GCAAUCUCUUAUCUGCAUCUAGUAGAAAGAACUGCGUGUUACUCAGUGAUUGUGAACACUUGGCUGCAAAUAGAUAAAGAAGAUGGAAGAAGAAGGAAAGAAAAGGCAUAAUGUAAAUAUAAACGCUGUCUUUAUUUCUGGAUCUAGCAAAGAGUUAGUUUGAAAGAGCAAUUGCUUAUAAGACUACAAGGCUGAUUUCUCCCAUCCCUGCAAUGCUGAAAGUCUGUGCCCUUCUAAGCAAAUUCUAGUUUCCCUGACAAUUAGUCUAAUGGAAUGCCUGGAUGUAGGAAUAUUGAUUCCGAUGACAGUACUUUUACAGAUGGACCUGAGAUAUUUCUGCUGGUUCUUCACUGACAACACACAACAUAUGGAUGAUCAUAACUUUCCCAUAUACCCCACUAGGGCAAAACCAGAAACUGAGAAAGCUAGAUGGAAGAAUAAUGAUGUGGAAGGGGAGUUCUCCACUAGGAAGGAUCCGAUGAGUAGAUAGACACAAGGACAAAGAGGGCCUAACUUUGGGCUGUGGAAGCGGAGUUGCACUCAUAGGAGCCAUAGUGAGUCAUUGCAUCAGAACCACUAAGCAUCAGUCAUGAAGAGCAAACGGGCUUGCUGUUACAGGAGCUAAACCCUGAACCCUUCCAUCGUGGUUACAGAGAGCUUCUGGGGGACAGCAUGAGACAGCUUAGCACUUCCCCAAUAUUAUGAGGAAACCCAAAGGCCCAGAUGCCACUUGGGAAAGGAGAACCAAGAAGGAAGG